rnacentral:lncRNA from 1 species
AAAGAUAUAUGGUUUCUAUGUGUAAGAAAUGAGGAUAUGAAGAUGUUGAUGUUGAUUUUAGGUGCAUUUAGGGCUUGCAAUUGGUUGUUCAUUGUGGUUUGUGUAUUGAUGACAAUGUUAUAAAUAAAAAAAGAAGAUGAAGAUGAUUGAGUUAAACAAGCAUUUUCAAACAAAAAGAGUCGUGACAUUAAACUAAAUUUUGUGGAAAUAUAUUUGGUAUUAAAAUUGUAAAAAGGUAAGAUUAUAAUUAUUUAGUAAUUAGAAUUUUCUU